rnacentral:rRNA from 1 species
UAGCUUCAGCGGUGGGUCGUUCGCAUUGAGCAUCGAAGAAGAACACAGCUUGUCGUGUUUUUUACCACGAGCGCAGGCAUUUGAAGUGAUGGAAUUCUGAGCGCAUAGCACAGCCUGAGUCACCAGUCGGUACGUCUGGUUCAAGAUUG